UGAUUUUAGUGCUUGCACUAAAUGAAACUAGAUACAAGCGAGCGGCGGACGGGUGAGUAACACGUGGGUAACCUGCCCAAGAGACUGGGAUAACACCUGGAAACAGAUGCUAAUACCGGAUAACAACACUAGACGCAUGUCUAGAGUUUGAAAGAUGGUUCUGCUAUCACUCUUGGAUGGACCUGCGGUGCAUUAGCUAGUUGGUAAGGUAACGGCUUACCAAGGCAAUGAUGCAUAGCCGAGUUGAGAGACUGAUCGGCCACAUUGGGACUGAGACACGGCCCAAACUCCUACGGGAGGCAGCAGUAGGGAAUCUUCCACAAUGGACGAAAGUCUGAUGGAGCAACGCCGCGUGAGUGAAGAAGGGUUUCGGCUCGUAAAGCUCUGUUGGUAGUGAAGAAAGAUAGAGGUAGUAACUGGCCUUUAUUUGACGGUAAUUACUUAGAAAGUCACGGCUAACUACGUGCCAGCAGCCGCGGUAAUACGUAGGUGGCAAGCGUUGUCCGGAUUUAUUGGGCGUAAAGCGAGUGCAGGCGGUUCAAUAAGUCUGAUGUGAAAGCCUUCGGCUCAACCGGAGAAUUGCAUCAGAAACUGUUGAACUUGAGUGCAGAAGAGGAGAGUGGAA
rnacentral:rRNA from 1 species